GGCUUUUGGGCUGUCGCAAUGGAUGAGCCUGCGUUGGAUUAGCUAGUUGGUGGGGUAAGGGCCUACCAAGGCUACGAUCCAUAGCUGAUUUGAGAGGAUGAUCAGCCACAUUGGGACUGAGACACGGCCCAAACUCCUACGGGAGGCAGCAGUGAGGAAUAUUGGACAAUGGGGGCAACCCUGAUCCAGCAAUGCCAUGUGUGUGAAGAAGGCCUUAGGGUUGUAAAGCACUUUAGUUGGGGAAGAAAGCUUUGAGGUUAAUAGCCUUGAGGAAAAGGACGUUACCCAAAGAAUAAGCACCGGCUAACUCCGUGCCAGCAGCCGCGGUAAUACGGGGGGUGCAAGCGUUAAUCGGAAUUACUGGGCGUAAAGGGUCUGUAGGUGGUUUGUUAAGUCAGAUGUGAAAGCCUAGGGCUCAACCUUGGAACUGCAUUUGAUACUGGUAAACUAGAGUACGGUAGAGGAAUGGGGAAUUUCUGGUGUAGCGGUGAAAUGCGUAGAGAUCAGAAGGAACACCAAUGGCGAAGGCAACAUUCUGGACCGAUACUGACACUGAGGGACGAAAGCGUGGGGAUCAAACAGGAUUAGAUACCCUGGUAGUCCACGCUGUAAACGAUGAGUACUAGCUGUUGGAGUCGGUGUAAAGGCUCUAGUGGCGCAGCUAACGCGAUAAGUACUCCGCCUGGGGACUACGGCCGCAAGGCUAAAACUCAAAGGAAUUGACGGGGACCCGCACAAGCGGUGGAGCAUGUAGUUUAAUUCAAUGCAAC
rnacentral:rRNA from 1 species